ACAACAGAAGCAAAGGUCCCUGAUGCUCAAGCGGGUUAUGAAAAGGCAACCACAAUUUUAAUGCCAGCCUUAGCUGGUGCGCAACUGAUACAUGAAUCGG
rfam:Desulfitibacter sp. BRH_c19 BRHa_1000399, whole genome shotgun sequence.